rnacentral:pre_miRNA from 11 species
UAUUGCAUAUUCUUAGGCCCGGUCUUGUGGCAAGAACUGGGUAGUUCGUUAACUUGCUACCCGGUUCUUGUCACAAGACCGAGUCUAUGAAUAUGCAAAGG